UCCCUGGUAGUCCAGUGGUUAAGACUCUGCGCUCCCAAUGCAGGGGGCAUGGGUGUGAUCCCUGGUUAGGGAA
rfam:TPA: Bos taurus chromosome 9, whole genome shotgun sequence.